rnacentral:lncRNA from 1 species
AUGACAACCCCUUUACAGGAACAGUCAGGAAGAGGGAAACUGCCUUCUCUAAGUUCACAUGUGGCUGAAAAUAACUCCAGAAUUGCUGACGCUGCCCAGAGGCUCUGCCACCUCCGGCUGUGCCCCUGGCGGGAACUUCCAGGGCCCCCAGGUUCUCCCCUUGGGAUCCACUGUGAUUCCUUGAUCUGGUUCUCGUUUAACUUUCCAGCGACUCCUGGCCCUUCUCAGUUGUCUGCACUUUCCAGGUGCAGAAGGCUGCGUAGAGCAAACAGGAAGCCUGAUGAAGCACUGUCAGAGGCCAGCGUCGAGGGCUCACCACACCGUGGAGCGCAGCCGCUGGAGAGACAUCAGGCAGCUUGGGCUGGCUUGUAUCCAUUUGUUGGAGUCAAUCGCCAAAUCUUGGUGACUUUGGGGACCAGUUGUCGGGCAUGGCCAUUACUAAAAAUGAAAAUGUAUACGCUUGCAAUUAAGUAAGUUAUAUUAACAUCCAAGGUAGUAAAUACCCAUAACUCCUCAUCUCCUAUUUCACCACAACAUGCUGUCAUCUGUGC